rnacentral:lncRNA from 1 species
GUGAGUGGGAGGUGGCCGCCCAGACUCCACCGGGGCCACCUUCCCUCCGCCCCCGGCCGCCCAGCUGUGAUGAGCCGAGAAAGAGGAAAAACGGGCGGCGCGUGAGGGGACCAGGAGGGCGGGCAGGCGGGGUGCGCUGCCCAGCAACCGUCGCCUCACUCCACGCGCCCAGGAGGGGCCGCGGGAGUCGAGCCUAGAAGCUGGGGAUGCCCGCGAGGUGAGGGUCCGAGCCCAAGCACCCGAAGGUCAAAAGGCUGCGCGGCCCCAAGCGGCGGCCAGGCCUGAGUGUUUGGGUGGCUCGCGGUGAUCCCGCCCCCACCUCCUCGCGCCUCCCUACAGAUUGGCUCCCGCCUGCGUUGCCCCGCCUUCCCGGGCCUAGGCCUACCCUCCCGACUCCGCCUUGCUAAGGUACGGCGGUGUGGUAGGUGCUGCCACCCUUGGACUCGGUGAUGGACAGGUCGGUGCCUCCACCCUCCCGGCCAUAGCGCGUCCCCUCCUCCACAGAGGGGCCCAAGCGGAUUGGAGAGAAGGAGCCCCUGGGGGCGCCAAUCAGAAGGCGACCCCUCCUCCCCCACGUGGCCUGCAGAAGCCGGGGAAGAGCGAUCUCUUUCACCUUUUCCUGACUGGGCUUGCUUACUCCCUUGAAACACUCCAACCCGAGGAAGUGCAAAACUGGAAGGACUAAGAAUAAAACGGCCAGACCUUCAACAGUAGGGCAAAAACUAAGAUGCAGAGCGCUGGGCGUGGUGGCGCAAGGCCUGUAAUCCCACCACUCUGGGAGGCUGAGGCAGGAGGAUUGCUGCAAGUUCGAGGCCAGCCUGGCCUGCAUGAAGUUCAAGGAGACAGCUCAAAAAACAAAAGCAAACAAACAAACCCUGAAGUGUAGAGAACUGCCACAGAUUUGACACCUGGCAUCUAGGCAUAACAAUCAAAUUAAAUUAUGUAUAGAAAGUGAGCUUAUUGGACUUUAUAGGACUUUAGUUUUUUUGUUUUGGGGUUUUUUUUAAGCCUGG